UACGAAGGGGGCUAGCGUUGCUCGGAAUCACUGGGCGUAAAGCGCACGUAGGCGGCUUUCUAAGUCAGGGGUGAAAUCCUGGAGCUCAACUCCAGAACUGCCUUUGAUACUGGAGAGCUUGAGUCCGGAAGAGGUGAGUGGAACUCCGAGUGUAGAGGUGAAAUUCGUAGAUAUCGGAAGGAACAUCAGUGGCGAAAGCGACUUCCUGGACCAAUACUGACGCUCAUGUGCGAAAGCGUGGGGAGCAAACAGG
rnacentral:rRNA from 1 species